rnacentral:rRNA from 1 species
GACGGUUGUCCCGGUUUAAGCGUGUAGGCUGGUUUUCCAGGCAAAUCCGGAAAAUCAAGGCUGAGGCGUGAUGACGAGGCACUACGGUGCUGAAGCAACAAAUGCCCUGCUUCCAGGAAAAGCCUCUAAGCAUCAGGUAACAUCAAAUCGUACCCCAAACCGACACAGGUGGUCAGGUAGAGAAUACCAAGGCGCUUGAGAGAACUCGGGUGAAGGAACUAGGCAAAAUGGUGCCGUAACUUCGGGAGAAGGCACGCUGAUAUGUAGGUGAAGUCCCUCGCGGAUGGAGCUGAAAUCAGUCGAAGAUACCAGCUGGCUGCAACUGUUUAUUAAAAACACAGCACUGUGCAAACACGAAAGUGGACGUAUACGGUGUGACGCCUGCCCGGUGCCGGAAGGUUAAUUGAUGGGGUCAGCGCAAGCGAAGCUCUUGAUCGAAGCCCCGGUAAACGGCGGCCGUAACUAUAACGGUCCUAAGGUAGCGAAAUUCCUUGUCGGGUAAGUUCCGACCUGCACGAAUGGCGUAAUGAUGGCCAGGCUGUCUCCACCCGAGACUCAGUGAAAUUGAACUCGCUGUGAAGAUGCAGUGUACCCGCGGCAAGACGGAAAGACCCCGUGAACCUUUACUAUAGCUUGACACUGAACAUUGAGCCUUGAUGUGUAGGAUAGGUGGGAGGCUUUGAAGUGUGGACGCCAGUCUGCAUGGAGCCGACCUUGAAAUACCACCCUUUAAUGUUUGAUGUUCUAACGUUGACCCGUGAUCCGGGUUGCGGACAGUGUCUGGUGGGUAGUUUGACUGGGGCGGUCUCCUCCUAAAGAGUAACGGAGGAGCACGAAGGUUGGCUAAUCCUGGUCGGACAUCAGGAGGUUAGUGCAAUGGCAUAAGCCAGCUUGACUGCGAGCGUGACGGCGCGAGCAGGUGCGAAAGCAGGUCAUAGUGAUCCGGUGGUUCUGAAUGGAAGGGCCAUCGCUCAACGGAUAAAAGGUACUCCGGGGAUAACAGGCUGAUACCGCCCAAGAGUUCAUAUCGACGGCGGUGUUUGGCACCUCGAUGUCGGCUCAUCACAUCCUGGGGCUGAAGUAGGUCCCAAGGGUAUGGCUGUUCGCCAUUUAAAGUGGUACGCGAGCUGGGUUUAGAACGUCGUGAGACAGUUCGGUCCCUAUCUGCCGUGGGCGCUGGAGAACUGAGGGGGGCUGCUCCUAGUACGAGAGGACCGGAGUGGACGCAUCACUGGUGUUCGGGUUGUCAUGCCAAUGGCACUGCCCGGUAGCUAAAUGCGGAAGAGAUAAGUGCUGAAAGCAUCUAAGCACGAAACUUGCCCCGAGAUGAGUUCUCCCUGACCCUUUAAGGGUCCUGAAGGAACGUUGAAGACGACGACGUUGAUAGGCCGGGUGUGUAAGCGCAGCGAUGCGUUGAGCUAACCGGUACUAAUGAACCGUGAGG